UUAACACAUGCAAGUCGAACGAGAAUCUACUGAAGGAGGAUUCGUCCAACGGAUGUAGAGGAAAGUGGCGGACGGGUGAGUAACGCGUGAGGAACCUGCCUUGAAGAGGGGGACAACAGUUGGAAACGACUGCUAAUACCGCAUGAAGCAUAGGGGUCGCAUGAUUCUUAUGCCAAAGAUUUAUCGCUUCAAGAUGGCCUCGCGUCUGAUUAGCUAGUUGGCGGGGUAACGGCCCACCAAGGCGACGAUCAGUAGCCGGACUGAGAGGUUGAACGGCCACAUUGGGACUGAGAUACGGCCCAGACUCCUACGGGAGGCAGCAGUGGGGAAUAUUGGGCAAUGGGCGCAAGCCUGACCCAGCAACGCCGCGUGAAGGAAGAAGGCUUUCGGGUUGUAAACUUCUUUUAAGAGGGAAGAGCAGAAGACGGUACCUCUAGAAUAAGCCACGGCUAACUACGUGCCAGCAGCCGCGGUAAUACGUAGGUGGCAAGCGUUGUCCGGAUUUACUGGGUGUAAAGGGCGUGCAGCCGGGUCUGCAAGUCAGAUGUGAAAUCCAUGGGCUCAACCCAUGAACUGCAUUUGAAACUGUAGAUCUUGAGUGUCGGAGGGGCAAUCGGAAUUCCUAGUGUAGCGGUGAAAUGCGUAGAUAUUAGGAGGAACACCAGUGGCGAAGGCGGAUUGCUGGACGAUAACUGACGGUGAGGCGCGAAAGUGUGGGGAGCAAACAGGAUUAGAUACCCUGGUAGUCCACACUGUAAACGAUGAAUACUAGGUGUGCGGGGACUGACCCCCUGCGUGCCGCAGUAAACACAAUAAGUAUUCCACCUGGGGAGUACGAUCGCAAGGUUGAAACUCAA
rnacentral:rRNA from 1 species